UAUUUAUUAGCUUGUAACAUCUUAGACGAUAGUAAUUUAGAUUAUUUUCACAAUGUCUUCGAUUAUUUCGAAAUUGUUCACUUUGUUUGUUACGAAUAAAUAUAAUAACAAUUAGCUUAACAAACAUGCUAGCGAUACAACUGAUUUAUACUUGGUUUGGAACACCCGUUAUGUGAAAGUCACAUCUGGACUUGAAGCACGUGCGCGUAUACGACGAUGAAGGCACGUAUUAUAAGCAGACCAGUACGAGAUGCUGAAAGUAGCCAAAUUGGCGUAUCAACAAAACAAGCACGUAAAAUCUAAUUCUACUACCUGCGAAUCUAGAAGAGAGCUAGAACGGGGGACACAAAAGAGCGAUACCUGAGCCAGAAAGACAAAUUCCAGCUGCUUGUGAGGUGUGUCAUAUUCCAGCUAAACUGGCGCUUUUCCUUGCGUAUGUCCUUAGCGAUGGCUUUAAGCCUCGAGUCGAUUGGGAUAAUAUUUUUGUAAUGGCAAUCUCGCUUCUAAUUACUGUUGUAAUCAGAAAAUAUUAUAAAUAAUAUUUAUAAAUAUCGAUAAUAUUGAUAUAAAUUAAAUUAAUGAUAAUAUUACGUUAUAUUAUAUUAAUAUUAUAUUAUAGUAUUAAUAUUAUCAAUAAUUGAUAUACGUUUAAUACUAACAUAUUUCUUAUAUUUUUAACAUUUUUUUAAUGGGUUCCCCUAUGGUAAAUCUAUAGUCAAGUUAAUUUCAAAAUUAAAUUAUACAAAGAUUAUUAAAACAAUGAAAUUAUACAAGAUCUAGCUACUGUGAGAUAAUACUUUGUGUUAUGUUAGAUAAUAACAUUUACAUGAAUAAAAAUGCACUUUGCUUA